rnacentral:lncRNA from 1 species
ACAUCUGUCAGAUAGAUACUUCAGUUUCUAGUUUUGAGAUGUGAUCUUGUUAAACUCAAUGAGAACAAUAAGGAUUUGAUCACCUAUAUGGACGUCAUGCAGAGGUCUGACUCCGAUUAAUGGCUUAGAGUAUAGAGUCUAAAAUGGAGUCUAUGAAGGUCAACGGUGUAUGAAUACUCGUUGAUCCACUCGAAGGGAUAAAACUCAUAGAGUGUAAGUGGAUCUCCAAU